rnacentral:tRNA from 1 species
UGCGUUGUUAGCUCAGUCGGACAGAGCAAUUGCCUUCUAAGCAAUCGGUCAGUGGUUCGACUCCACUACAACGCGCCAC